rnacentral:rRNA from 1 species
GACGAACGCUGGCGGCGUGCUUAACACAUGCAAGUCGAACGGUGAAGCGCCUUCCUUUUUGGUGGGUGUGGAUGAGUGGCGAACGGGUGAGUGACACGUGAGUAACCUGCCCCCUUCUUCUGGAUAACCGCAUGAAAGUGUGGCUAAUACGGGAUAUUCUGGGUCUGUCGCAUGAUGGGUCUGGGAAAGAUAUUGUUUCGGUGGGGGAUGGGCUCGCGGCCUAUCAGCUUGUUGGUGGGGUGAUGGCCUACCAAGGCGGUGACGGGUAGCCGGCCUGAGAGGGUGGACGGUCACACUGGGACUGAGACACGGCCCAGACUCCUACGGGAGGCAGCAGUGGGGAAUAUUGCACAAUGGGCGCAAGCCUGAUGCAGCGACGCCGCGGGAGGGAUGGAGGCCUUCGGGUUGUGAACCUCUUUCGCCAGUGAAGCAGGCCUGCCUCGUUUGUGGGUGGGUUGACGGUAGCUGGAUAAGAAGCGCCGGCUAACUACGUG